AUGGACGCCUGCUGCCUCGUCCGCCGGCAUCUUCACCAACCGCUGCAGCUUCCGCCCCUCCAGUGUCUGACUCUGGGCCGCUGCUGCCGCCGCCGCCGCCGCGGCGUAGCCAUCGCCGUCGCCUUCUGCUCAACGGCGCCUGACCACCACCGGGAGCGGCCAUGGGAGUCCUACGACCGCGACAUCCAGCCCCGCGCGGGCUCCGAUCUGGCCCGCUCGCUCCAACUCCUCGCGGACAUGCAGGCCGCCGGGAUGCGCCCCAGCGCCGCCGCCUACGCGCGCCUCAUCCGCGCGCUGGCCCGCGCCGGCCGCACGCUCGAGGCCGAGGCGCUCCUCCUCGAGAUGCGCCACCUCGGGCUCCGCCCGGACUCCGCGCACUACAACGCGCUCCUCGAGGGCCUCCUCGCGAGGGCGCACCUCCGCCUCGCCGACCGCCUCCUCCUCCAGAUGGCCGACGACGGGGUCGCGCGGAACCGGCGCACCUACAUGCUCCUGCUGGACGCCUACGCCCGCGCCGGCCGCCUCGAGGACUCGUGGUGGGUCCUCGGCGAGAUGAAGCGCCGGGGGAUCCGGCUCGGCACCGCCGGGUACAGCACGCUGGUGCGGCUUUACAGGGACAGCGGCAUGUGGAAGAAGGCCACCGACCUCAUCAUGGAGAUGCAGGAGGUCGGGGUGGAGCUCGACGUUAAGAUUUACAACGGCUUGAUCGAUACGUUCGGCAAGUACGGGCAGCUCGCCGAUGCGCGCAGGGUGUUUGAGAAAAUGCGUGGGCAGGGUAUCAAGCCGGAUAUUGCUACGUGGAACGCUUUGAUUCGAUGGCACUGUCGGGUUGGGAACAUGAAGCGUGCCCUGCGAUUCCUUGCUGCCAUGCAGGAGGAAGGGAUGUACCCGGACCCAAAGAUCUUCAUUACGAUCAUCAGCAGGUUGGGGGAGCAAGGGAAGUGGGAUGAGCUCAAAGAGCUGUUUGAUAAAAUGAGGAAUCGAGGGUUCAAGGAGAGCGGUGCAAUAUAUGCAGUUUUGGUCGACAUUUACGGUCAGUAUGGCCAUUUUCGCGAUGCCCAGGAAUGUGUAGCUGCUCUUAAAGCUGAAAACCUGCAGCUCUCGCCUAGUAUCUUCUGCGUCCUGGCGAACGCUUAUGCUCAACAGGGUUUGUGUGAACAAACUGUAAGUGUUCUUCAAUUGAUGGAGGCAGAAGGAAUUGAACCAAAUCUCGUUAUGUUGAAUUUGUUAAUCAAUGCUUUUAGUACGGCUGGAAGGCACUCGGAGGCACUAGCUGUAUUCCAGCAUAUCAAGGACAGUGGUAUGAGCCCAGAUGUUGUGACUUACACUACUCUAAUGAAGGCUUUCAUGAGAGUAAAAAGAUAUGAGAAGGUUUCAGAAGUAUAUAGUGAAAUGGAGCGUGCUGGCUGUACCCCAGAUAGAAAAGCUAGGGAAAUGUUGCAUGAUGUGUCUGUUACACUGGAACAAAUGGGAUGUAAGUGUUUCAUUUGCACUUUUGCAGCUGUUUUCUUGUGGUUUUCGAGGAUGUAUUGGUUGACGCAUGCUUUGCCAGGUUAUUGA
rnacentral:rRNA from 1 species